ACUUGCGGUGGGUACGGGCAGACUAGAGUGUGGUAGGGGAGACUGGAAUUCCUGGUGUAGCGGUGAAAUGCGCAGAUAUCAGGAGGAACACCGAUGGCGAAGGCAGGUCUCUGGGCCACUACUGACGCUGAGAAGCGAAAGCAUGGGGAGCGAACAGGAUUAGAUACCCUGGUAGUCCAUGCCGUAAACGUUGGGAACUAGGUGUGGGUCUCAUUCCACGAGAUCCGUGCCGCAGCUAACGCAUUAAGUUCCCCGCCUGGGGAGUACGGCCGCAAGGCUAAAACUCAAAGGAAUUGACGGGGGCCCGCACAAGCGGCGGAGCAUGCGGAUUAAUUCGAUGCAACGCGAAGAACCUUACCAAGGCUUGACAUAUGCGAGAACGCGGCAGAGAUGUCGUUCUCUUUGGACACUCGCAUACAGGUGGUGCAUGGUUGUCGUCAGCUCGUGUCGUGAGAUGUUGGGUUAAGUCCCGCAACGAGCGCAACCCUCGUUCUAUGUUGCCAGCACGUGAUGGUGGGGACUCAUAGGAGACUGCCGGGGUCAACUCGG
rnacentral:rRNA from 1 species